rnacentral:rRNA from 1 species
GAUGAACGCUGGCGGCGUGCUUAACACAUGCAAGUCGAACGGUGAAGGCGGAGCUUGCUCUGCUGGAUCAGUGGCGAACGGGUGAGUAACACGUGAGCAAUCUGCCCCUGACUCUGGGAUAAGCGCUGGAAACGGCGUCUAAUACUGGAUACGAGCUGCGAAGGCAUCUUCAGCAGCUGGAAAGAAUUUCGGUCAGGGAUGAGCUCGCGGCCUAUCAGCUUGUUGGUGAGGUAAUGGCUCACCAAGGCGUCGACGGGUAGCCGGCCUGAGAGGGUGACCGGCCACACUGGGACUGAGACACGGCCCAGACUCCUACGGGAGGCAGCAGUGGGGAAUAUUGCACAAUGGGCGGAAGCCUGAUGCAGCAACGCCGCGUGGGGGACGACGGCCUUCGGGUUGUAAACCUCUUUUAGCAGGGAAGAAGCGAAAGUGACGGUACCUGCAGAAAAAGCGCCGGCUAACUACGUG